GCAUAUCAAUAAGCGGAGGAAAAGAAACCAACAGGGAUUGCCCCAGUAACGGCGAGUGAAGCGGCAACAGCUCAAAUUUGAAAUCUGGCCCCCAGGGUCCGAGUUGUAAUUUGUAGAGGAUGCUUUUGGCGCGGCGCCUUCCGAGUUCCCUGGAACGGGACGCCAUAGAGGGUGAGAGCCCCGUCUGGUCGGAUGCCUAGCCUCUGUAAAGCUCCUUCGACGAGUCGAGUAGUUUGGGAAUGCUGCUCUAAAUGGGAGGUAUAUGUCUUCUAAAGCUAAAUAUUGGCCAGAGACCGAUAGCGCACAAGUAGAGUGAUCGAAAGAUGAAAAGCACUUUGAAAAGAGGGUUAAAUAGUACGUGAAAUUGUUGAAAGGGAAGCGUUUGUGACCAGACUUGGGCCCGGUUAAUCAUCCACCGUUCUCGGUGGUGCACUUUGCCGGCCCAGGCCAGCAUCAGUUCGCCUCGGGGGAUAAAGGCUUCGGGAAUGUGGCUCCCUCGGGAGUGUUAUAGCCCGUUGCGUAAUACCCUGCGGCGGACUGAGGUUCGCGCUCCGCAAGGAUGCUGGCGUAAUGGUCAUCAGCGACCCGUCUUGAAACACGGACCAAGGAGUCGUCUUCGUAUGCGAGUGUUCGGGUGUCAAACCCCUACGCGUAAUGAAAGUGAACGCAGGUGAGAGCUUCGGCGCAUCAUCGACCGAUCCUGAUGUUCUCGGAUGGAUUUGAGUAAGAGCAUACGGGGCCGGACCCGAAAGAAGGUGAACUAUGCCUGUAUAGGGUGAAGCCAGAGGAAACUCUGGUGGAGGCUCGCAGCGGUUCUGACGUGCAAAUCGAUCGUCAAAUAUGGGCAUGGGGCGAAAGACUAAUCGACUACAGCCCG
rnacentral:rRNA from 1 species